rnacentral:rRNA from 1 species
UACGUAGGGUGCGAGCGUUAAUCGGAUUUACUGGGCGUAAAGCGCGCGUAGGUGGUUUGAUAAGUUGGAUGUGAAAGCCCCGGGCUCAACCUAGGAAUUGCGCUUGUGACUGGCGGGCUCGAGUACGGUAGAGGGGGGUGGAAUUCCUGGUGUAGCAGUGAAAUGCGUAGAGAUCAGGAGGAACACCGAUGGCGAAGGCAGCCCCCUGGGCCUGUACUGACGCUCAUGCACGAAAGCGUGGGGAGCAAACAGG